rnacentral:rRNA from 1 species
AACCUUUGACAUGUCCCGUAUGAGCAACAGAGAUGUAGCUCUUCAGUUCGGCUGGCGGGAACACAGGUGCUGCAUGGCUGUCGUCAGCUCGUGUCGUGAGAUGUUGGGUUAAGUCCCGCAACGAGCGCAACCCUCGCCCUUAGUUGCCAUCAUUCAGUUGGGCACUCUAAGGGGACUGCCGGUGAUAAGCCGCGAGGAAGGUGGGGAUGACGUCAAGUCCUCAUGG